GAGUUUGAUCCUGGCUCAGAACGAACGCUGGCGGCAGGCCUAACACAUGCAAGUCGAGCGCUCUCUUCGGAGGGAGCGGCGGACGGGUGAGUAACGCGUGGGAACGUGCCCAAAGGUGGGGAACAACCGCUGGAAACGGCGGCUAAUACCCCAUGUGCCCUACGGGGGAAAGAUUUAUCGCCUUUGGAUCGGCCCGCGUCGGAUUAGCUAGUUGGUGGGGUAACGGCCCACCAAGGCGACGAUCCGUAGCUGGUUUGAGAGGAUGAUCAGCCACACUGGGACUGAGACACGGCCCAGACUCCUACGGGAGGCAGCAGUGGGGAAUCUUGGACAACGGGGGCAACCCUGAUCCAGCCAUGCCGCGUGAGCGAUGAAGGCCCUAGGGUUGUAAAGCUCUUUCACCGGUGAAGAUAAUGACGGUAGCCGGAGAAGAAGCCCCGGCUAACUCCGUGCCAGCAGCCGCGGUAAUACGGAGGGGGCUAGCGUUGUUCGGAAUUACUGGGCGUAAAGCGCGCGUAGGCGGGCUGUUAAGUCGGGGGUGAAAUCCCGGGGCUCAACCCCGG
rnacentral:rRNA from 1 species